UAGCAUGUACAAAGCCCUGAGACCCAGCUUACAUUUUGUUCCACAAAACAAAAAUGAAACCAAACAAACCAACCUACAGAAAAAUGUGACGUGUGCUACUUUCUGAAUCAGUCUUCUGUUACUGAAGGCCCAACAGAACAUACUCACUCUUCACUCAUCCAUUCGUCUGUGGGGAACCCACAAAUGUGCAAGUCAGAGAGGUGGUGAUCCUGGCAGAUGGAAGAGCUUGUACAAGAUGUGCUGCCCAACCCAGAACUGCUAGCCCACUGGUGACUGCUUAAACUAAAUUUAAUGUGGUUCAAAGGAAACCACUUUAAACAUUUGUUGGAACGGUUCAAGAACGGUGUUGUGUGGGGAGAGUCCUGAGUGUUCCUGAGAGAAGUCCAAGAAGACAAUACAAGAGUCUGGUGACCUCAGUUUUUUCAAAAACACAAAAUGUGUUUUUGUGUCCCUCCCAGGGGUAGCGGAUAGGGGAGUACAUUUACUGAGGAACCUGCAUGACUCCAUUUUGAAGGCAAGAACCAUUAUGCUGAGACCAGAGAAUGAGGUUGGAAGUUCUUACCCUCAAGCCAUAUGGUUCAUUCUUCAGAGAGCUGUCCCCUAUUUGGUGGAGGCCUUCCCAAGUCACCCACUAACCAAACUCAGGUGUGGACAGAAAGGACUUGUUCAGAAUAACGAACUGUUGGCAUCAGGAGAUGGAGACUUAGGAGUCUAAGCUGCGGCAGGUGCUCUCCCAAAUGACCAGUGACCUUGAAAUGAUCCACAAGAGAUAGCCACUGACAACCAUGAUUAAACCAAUCAAAAGUA